rnacentral:rRNA from 1 species
AUUGAACGCUGGCGGAAUGCUUUACACAUGCAAGUCGAGCGGCAGCGCGGGGCAACCUGGCGGCGAGCGGCGAACGGGUGAGUAAUACAUCGGAACGUACCCAGUUGUGGGGGAUAGCCCGGCGAAAGCCGGAUUAAUACCGCAUACGACCUGAGGGUGAAAGGGGGGAGUCGCAAGACCUCUCGCAGUUGGAGCGGCCGAUGGCGGAUUAGCUAGUUGGUAGGGUAAAGGCCUACCAAGGCGACGAUCCGUAGCUGGUCUGAGAGGACGACCAGCCACACUGGAACUGAGACACGGUCCAGACUCCUACGGGAGGCAGCAGUGGGGAAUUUUGGACAAUGGGGGCGAACCCUGAUCCAGCCAUUCCGCGUGAGUGAAGAAGGCC